rnacentral:lncRNA from 1 species
UGAAUUCAAGAUGCCAUGUCCCCAUUGUCUUAAACCAGGCAACAACAAUUGCAUGCUCUCUAUUAAUAUACUCAAUAUAUUGCUGCGCGGAUGUUGGGACAAGUGCUUCGUAGCUUAGUAGGCGUAUGUUAGAUUCCUCACGUUAAUGGCCACUUGACCUCCGUUGGCCUUUGCAACUAUUUACGCACACUUGGGAGGUGGAUACGUAGGAUUUAUCGGCGUAGCCUUGUUAUAUCGCCGUAGGUUUGUUAUGCGGCACGUCUUGUGUUGUGCCAAGGAUGGUGAGCUUUGAUCCUGUACAACGCAGGCGUAGUCGUGACUAGUGUCUGAUGAGUGUUGGCUGCUUGCGCGGCCAAGUGCGUGGCCUGGUGUGAAAUGAGGCGUGUGGCGAGGUGUCACGUGUCAGGUUUGGGGUUUGAGGAAAGUGCGUAUUGCAUCAAGUGCGAAGCACUCAAGUCGGCUUUACAGAUUCAUCGGUCAUAUAUAUAAAGGUGGGGUAACCCAGGGUAACAAGGAUUGCC